GAUGAACGCUAGCUACAGGCUUAACACAUGCAAGUCGAGGGGAAACGGCAUUGAGUGCUUGCACUCUUUGGACGUCGACCGGCGCACGGGUGAGUAACGCGUAUCCAACCUUCCCAUUACUGUGGGAUAACCUGCCGAAAGGCAGACUAAUACCGCAUAGUCUUCGAUGACGGCAUCAGAUUUGAAGUAAAGAUUUAUCGGUAAUGGAUGGGGAUGCGUCUGAUUAGCUUGUUGGCGGGGUAACGGCCCACCAAGGCUACGAUCAGUAGGGGUUCUGAGAGGAAGGUCCCCCACAUUGGAACUGAGACACGGUCCAAACUCCUACGGGAGGCAGCAGUGAGGAAUAUUGGUCAAUGGACGGAAGUCUGAACCAGCCAAGUAGCGUGCAGGAUGACGGCCCUAUGGGUGGUAAACUGCUUUUGUAUGGGGAUAAAGUUAGGGACGGGUCCCUAUUUGCAGGUACCAUACGAAUAAGGACCGGCUAAUUCCGUG
rnacentral:rRNA from 1 species